rnacentral:lncRNA from 1 species
GCAGCCCCCUGUCGGGCUGCCGCCCCCUGCGGCUCUGCGCCCUGGACGGGGAGCACUGACUUGGGGCCGCGCUACUCCAGCUGGUGGUGUGACCCUGCACAGGUCCCCCCCAGCCGAGCCCCAAUAAAUGCACCAGCACGCGGCGGACAGCUCCUGACUGGGCCAGGCAGGAACGGGUGGGAGGAGGAGGGGAGGACUCGGGCAGGCGGGGCCGCCAGGGGGGCUCCCUUUGCACCCCAGAGAAACCCCCCGCGAUGCAGCCUGAGCUCCCCAGCGGUCGGCGGAGGCUGGGGUGGGGACCCGAGCCGGCAGGGCCAGGACGUGCAGAGGAGCCUGCGCCCGGAGCUGCGCCCCCCGCGCCUGCCCCUCCUGCGCGCCCUUCCUUCCUGGCCUUCCCUGCCGCUCGUGCUGGGGGUCCACUUCACCCAGCCGGGCCCUGCAUCGCGGACUCGGGGCAGCAGCUCAGCGGCGCAGCCGGAGGGCGAGAGGGGAAGGGGCGCGCGGGCACUAGGCGAGAGCGGGCGCUUCCUGCUCGGCGCGCCCCGCGGCGGCCUGGAGGGGGCGCCGGCCGCCUGUUGCGUCCCAGCGCUGACCCGGAGACGUUUGCUUUUCGGUUCCGGGACCUGGCGCUGCCGGAGCGGUGAGGACGCAGCUCUGCACCAUGAGCUCCGCAGAGCAGCCCCCGCAGCUCUGGGAUGUCUCCGAUCGCUUGGAGAGAAUUCUGGCGUCCUGGCCUUCAGUACCCAAACACCGAAUUCUCUCCGCUGCCACAACAGUGUCCCUAAAUGUACAAUAUUAUUAAUUUUUAAAUGGUUUGUUUUUCCUAUAACGCUAACAUAGUUCAAAAAAAUGUUGAAAAUUUUACAAAUACAGAUAUUACAACUCGGAACAUUGUUUUAAUUUUAACUAUGUUAUUUACUCACAAAACCAAAAUUUAUUAUGGGUUUUACUUCCCUGGCUUUAAUCGAGGCAAGC